GUUUGGGUGACCUAGUGGUUAGCGCGUCGAGCUACUGACCCGAAGGCUUGCGGGUUCGAAUCUCUGCCUUGGAAG